rnacentral:lncRNA from 1 species
CAGCAUGCUAUAGGUUGGAUCUGGAGCAUCCCUCUAAGGCCCAUGUAUCAAAGCACCAGCCCACUGGGAGCGCCACCUACUGGAGAACCUUAGGAGGUGGAGCCUAGUGGGAGGAAGUUAGGUCUUUGGGGGUGUGUCCUUGAAGGGGAGAUUGAACCCCGCCCUUUCUUCUCUCUUUCCUUCCUGUCUUCCAUGAGGUGAGAAGCUUUGUGUUCUACCUUAUCAGGCCCCAAACAAGAAGCAAGUAACCAUGGACAGAAACUUCCAAAAUGAUGAGCCAAAAUAAAUCCUCCUUUUAAGUAAAUUAUUUCAGAUAGUUUGUGAUAGUAACAGCAAACUGGCUAACACGGAUGGAGAAAAGCCAUAAAUAAGAAAUUUAAGGAAUAGAAAAAUGGAUAACUAUAGAUCCUAACAUAUUAUAGGGAUAGGGAGUGAAUCUAACUUUAGUCAAUUAUCUUGAAAAAUAUGAAGACUUGGGCACAUUUCUGGAAAAAUAAAACAAAAAAUUGAUAGAAACUAGACUUCAAACAAUUUUAAAAAAUUGAAUCUAUAAUUUAAAUUUUUCCUUCAAAGAAAAUUCCAGUCUCAGAUGACUUUACUGGCAAAUCUAUUAAUUCUGUAAAAAAAAAAAAAUUCCAACAUUAUUCAAAUUCUUUUUAAAUUUUGUUUAAACUGGGGGUUGUGAACCCAAGGAUGCUUUACUACUGAGUUCUCC